rnacentral:snRNA from 1 species
GGACAUCUCAGGUGCUCAUUUCAAAACAACGCAGAGGAGAUUCGCACGUCCCCUGCUCAAGGAUGACACACAAAUUCGUGAAGCAUUCCAUAUUUUA